UUUAAGGUUUGCAGUGUAUUGGGCUUCCCUUCUGUGAUUGGCGUGUUUGGCAGCAUACACAGGCGGGAGAGGUAAAACAGAUGAGCUUGGCUGAGACAUCAUAUUCAAGAAACCAGAGUGAGCAGAAAAUAAAUGUAUAUCAAGGAAGAGCCAGAAGUGAACGAGCUGUGACUAUGUGAGAUCAUGGUAUUAGUGACUUUCAUCCACUGGGUAUUUAUUUUAUAGUUGUGGUAGUUGUUUUCCAUGGAAAAUAAUGUCAGUUCGUCUCGUAGCAUGUUCUGCAUGCACUCAGAAUCAAAGGAAUCAUCAGAUUGGAAGUUCCUUUAAUAAUACAAACCACUUGCAUCUGAUGCUGAUUUGCCCUUCUUACUGCAGAGGGUCAAGGCUGGAAAUAGUUUGACACCUUUCCAAUGGAAAUUGAAUUUUUGCAGAUGAAGACUAAGACUCUAGGUCUGACCCAGGAGAAGAAAUUAGGUCUCCACAUUUAUCCCUGCUGCUAUUCCAAAACACUGCCAUUUUAAAGAUGGAAAAAGACAAGAAGUUGAAGUGGGAUCAGAGAACAUAGGAACAAAAGUGGGCAUCCUGAAAGGUUUUAAAGCUGUUUUGGAUACCAAAAAUGGCUUGUGCUUUGGAAACUACUUAGUUAUUAAGGCACCUGAUAUCAAAUUAUGUACAAUGACUAUUUGUUAUCAAAUAAAGGAUUGACUUUUAUUCCUAAAUAUUAUGCUCC